UGUGGAUGUAGCUCAGUGGAAGAGUGCUUGCCAAGCAUGCACAGGGCCCUGGGUUCAAUCACCAGCACUGCAA
rnacentral:tRNA from 1 species